rnacentral:tRNA from 1 species
AAAGGCUUAGGAUAAGAGCAGACCUAAAACCUUCAAAGUUUUAAGCAGGGGUGGAAAUCCCCUAGCCUUUG